rnacentral:rRNA from 1 species
UACAGAGGUGCCAAGCGUUAGGCGGGAUCACUGGGCUUAAAGCGCGUGUAGGUGGGUCGUUAAGUGUCCGCGUGAAAUCCCACGGCUCAACCGUGGAACUGCCGGGCAUACUGGCGAUCUUGAGGCAUUCAGGGGCGAGCGGAACAAAUGGUGGAGCGGUGAAAUGCGUAGAUAUCAUUUGGAACGCCAAUGGUGAAAACAGCUCGCUGGGAAUGAUCUGACACUGAGACGCGAAAGCCAGGGGAGCGAACGGG